rnacentral:rRNA from 1 species
UGCCAGCCGCCGCGGUAAUACGGAGGGUGCAAGCGUUAUUCGGAAUUACUGGGCGUAAAGCGCGCGUAGGCGGUUUAGUAAGUCUGGUGUGAAAGCCCUCGACUCAAUCGGGGAAGUGCACUGGAUACUGCUAGACUAGAGUAUUGGAGAGGAGAACGGAAUUCCCGGUGUAGGGGUGAAAUUCGUAGAUAUCGGGAGGAACACCAGUGGCGAAGGCGGCUUUCUGGACCGAUACUGACGCUGAGACGCGAAAGCGUGGGGAGCAAACAGGAUUAGAUA